rnacentral:rRNA from 1 species
CCCGUCACGUCAUGGGAGUUGUCAAGGCGUGAAGUCCGUGGGCUGACCCGCGCAAGCGGGAGGCAGCGGCCGAGCGCCGGGGCAGCGACUGGGACG